GAUGAACGCUGGCGGUGUGCCUAAUACAUGCAAGUCGAACGAGGUGCUUUUGUAGCAAUACGAGAGUAUCCUAGUGGCGAACGGGUGAGUAACGCGUUGGUGACCUACCCCAAAGUGUGGGAUAACAGUCCGAAAGGAUUGCUAAUACCGCAUGUGGUCAUCGGGUUUAGAAACCGAUGUCUAAAGGAGCAAUUCGCUUUGGGAGGGACCUGCGUCCCAUCAGCUAGUUGGUGAGGUAAUGGCUCACCAAGGCGACGACGGGUAGGGGACCUGAGAGGGUGGCCCCCCACAAUGGAACUGAAACACGGUCCAUACACCUACGGGUGGCUG
rnacentral:rRNA from 1 species